AUAGAGAGUGCUCUCCCCGCUGCCAGCUUCCUGUACUGGGUAGGCGCAGGCACUGCAGGCACCGUGGCCUACCUAGCUCUGCGCAUCUGCUACUCGCUCUUCAGGGCCCUCUGGGUCUGGGGAGUGGGGAACGAGUCGGAGGUCCGCCCAGGGCUUGGGGAAUGGGCACAUCAGGUAGUACUGAUGGAACUGGAAAAUCGUAUGCAGAAGAGUUAGCAAAACAUGAAAUGGCGGUUGUCCUUAUCAGCAGAUUACAGGAUAAACUUGACCAGGUUUCCAGGGAAAUAAAAGAAAACUUCAAAGUGGAGACAAGAACCAUUGCUGUUGACUGCAUCAGAAGAUAUUUAUGAUAAAAUUAAAACAGGCUUGGCUGGUCUUGAAAUCGGCGUCUUAGUGAACAACGUGGGAAUGUCAUAUGAGUAUCCCAAAUACUUUUUGGACAUUCCUGACUUGGACAAUAUGAUCAAGAAAAUGAUAAAUAUUAAUAUUCUCUCUGUUUGUAAGAUGACACAGUUGGUGCACCUGGCUUGAUGGAAAGAUCUAAAGGGGUGAAUCUGAACCUCUCCGCUGGCAGAGGCAUGUUCCCCGUCCCACUGUUGACGAUCUGUUCUGCAACCAAGACUUUUGUUGAUUUCUUCUCUCAGUGCCUCCAUGGGGAGUAUAGGAGCAAGGGCAUCUUUGUGCAGAGUGUCCUGCCAUACUUCGUAGCUAUAAAACUGGCUAAAAUCCGAAAGCCAACUUUGGAUAAGCCCUCUUCGGGGACAUUUUGAAGUCUGCAAUUAAAACAGUAGGCCUGCAAUCCCAAACCAAUGGAUACCUGAUCUAUGCUCUUAUGGGCUUGAUAAUCUCAAUCCUGCCGUCUUGGAUUUAUUUUAAAAUAAUCAUGGCUAUGAAAAGUCUACACGGGAUCGCUAUUUGAAAAAAACCAAGAAGA
rnacentral:lncRNA from 1 species